ACAGUAAGGACCGGAAUAGCAAAGUCACGGGACUAUUUUCGAAACUUGGCGUUUUGGGUUUGUUUUUUUGCUUUCCUCAGAACGAAGAAGUAGAAACCUCCUCCUUCCCGGCCUCGCCCUCUACCGGCCACCUGUAGAAUCGUCCUCCCUCUCUCGUCCUCUCUAUGGUCUGAGGGAUGGCCUUUCUUCAGUUCCCUCCCCCUCUUGUCACUCCGAGGGUUGGGCGUUGUGGAUUGAGAGCCGACUCCCGGCUAGCUAGUCAGCCCCGCUAUAGUUAGCCGGAGGAAGCUGCCUUCUUGCUGGGAGAGGAAAAGCAGAAGCCCGAAGCGGAGGCACUGCCUCCCAGCCCUUGUGAUUAUGCCCUUCACCACAGCCAAAGUAGCCACACGGCUGAGCCAAGGAAUCACCGCCAAAAGAGCAGCCGUGGCACUGUUGUUGGCAGCUUAUGGGGCCAGGAAGUUGUACCCCAUCCUGCGGAGACAGUGGGCUGCCUCAGUCCUCCACCAGGUGAAUGCAGAGACCACCAGCCCCAGGGAGUCAACAGCAAAGUGGAGGGAACUGGAGGUGGACGCUGCAUCACCACCUGGUGUAAACAAGGUGUUUUUCCUCCGUCUCCUCCGACUCCUGAGGUUGCUGUUCCCCGGGCCACUGUGCCGGCAGACGGGACUCUUGGCUUUGCAUUCAGCUGCCCUUGCUAGCCGCACCUUCCUCUCGGUUUACGUGGCCCAGCUGGAUGGACGCUUGGCCCGCUGCAUUGUCCGUAAGAACCCACGGGACUUUACGUGGCAGCUUCUUCAGUGGCUCCUCAUUGCCCUGCCAGCCACUUUUGUCAACAGUGCCAUUCGGUACCUGGAAGGACAACUGAGCCUGGCCUUCCGUGGACGCUUAGUGGACCAUGCCUAUCGGCUCUACUUUGAGGGCCAGACCUACUAUCGGGUCAGCAACAUGGAUGGAAGGUUGCGUAACCCGGACCAGUCGCUUACCGAAGAUUUGGUGGCCUUCGCUAAUUCCGUGGCCCAUCUCUACUCAAACUUGACCAAGCCUGUCCUUGAUCUCAUUGUGACUUCCUAUACCUUGGUCAGUUCAGCUAGAUCAAAGGGGGCUGACACAGCCUGGCCCUCAUUUAUUGCUGGUUUGGUAGUCUGUAUCACUGCCAAGGUGCUACGUGCCUGUUCACCAAAGUUUGGCCAACUGGUAGCUGAAGAAGCACGCCGGAAAGGAGAGCUGCGCUACAUGCAUUCUCGUGUGGUGGCCAAUUCAGAAGAGAUUGCCUUCUAUGGCGGGCAUAAGGUGGAGCUGUCCCUUCUGCGGCAUUGUUAUCAUCAGCUGGCCUCUCAAAUCAACGUGCUCCUUCUGGAGAGACUCUGGUAUGUGAUGCUGGAACAGUUCCUUAUGAAGUAUGUGUGGAGUGCUGCUGGGCUGGUCAUGGUGGCUGUACCGAUCAUCACUGCUACUGGCUAUUCUGAAACAGAUUCAGAGGCAGUGAAACAAGCUGCACUGGAAAUGGAAGAGCAAGAAUUGGUAAGCUUGAGGACUGAGGCUUUUACCACAGCACGGAGUCUCUUGUCUGCAGCAGCUGAUGCCACAGAGAGGGUCAUCUCUUCCUACAAAGAGGCAACUGAACUAGCAGGCUACACUGCUCGUGUGUAUGAGAUGUUCCGGGUGUUUGAGGAUGUGAAAUGCUGCAAUUUCCGACGCCCCGGAGAGCUUGAUGAAGGCCAGGCUCCGGCUGGAACAGUUAUGAAACAUGGUAUGCGUGUCGAGGGCUCACUCCAGAUCCAAGGGCAUGUGAUUGAUGUUGACCAUGGGAUUGUCUGUGAAAACAUCCCCAUCAUCACUCCUACCGGGGAUGUGGUAGUCACCAGCCUCAAUAUCCGAGUAGACGAAGGCAUGCACCUCCUGAUCACUGGACCAAAUGGCUGUGGGAAGAGUUCCCUUUUCCGCAUCUUGGGGGGCCUUUGGCCAACUUAUAAUGGCACCCUCUACAAACCACCUCCUCAUCGAAUGUUUUACAUUCCACAGAGACCAUAUAUGUCUGUGGGCACCCUGAGAGACCAGGUGAUUUACCCAGAUACAGCCAAGGACAUGGGACGGAAAGGACACACCGAUUCUGACCUGGAACGGAUUUUGGACGUCGUCAACCUCAAUUAUAUUGUACAGCGUGAAGGAGGUUGGGAAGCUGUCAACGAUUGGAAGGAUGUACUUUCAGGUGGCGAGAAGCAGAGAAUGGGGAUGGCCCGGAUGUUCUAUCACAGGCCAAAGUAUGCUCUCCUCGAUGAAUGCACCAGUGCCGUCAGUAUUGAUGUAGAAGGCAAGAUCUUCCAAGCAGCAAAGGAUGCAGGAAUAGCAUUGCUGUCCAUCACACACCGACCUUCGUUGUGGAAGUACCAUACCCACCUCCUCCAGUUUGACGGGGAGGGUGGCUGGGGGUUUGAGAAGCUGGAUCCUGAAGCCCGUUUCUCUCUGCGGGAGGAGAAGCAACGCCUGGAGCAGCAGCUGGCUGGUGUCCCUGAAAUGCAGCAACGUCUCAGCGAACUUUGUCAAAUACUGGGUGAAGAUGCACCCUCUGCAGUGGGAUAGGUUGGUGAUUUUGGGUGCCUUCCAAUCUCCUUUCCCUGCUGGCUUGGUGAGAAGGAUCCUAACUGCGACGCUCUCACCUCAGGAGCUGCACAAGAUGGCCAGUUUUUGUCCCAGCCACCCAAGGAGCAGUUAAGGAUACCCUGCGGGAGGGCAUUACUUAUGUCUGGCACCCAUUAAUUUAUUCUUCUGCCUCUGUUUAGGGAUGGAGGAAGAAAGGGGUUGCCCCACACUGCCAAUAUCUCUGAAGCCAGCCCUUUCAAUCCCCACACACAUGGUGCCUCAAUACCCCUCAAUAGUACAAGUUCUUCACUAGUGGGAAUUGCACUGGUCCACUGCCAGUCUCGAGCCUCUGUACUCAUGGACUUUUUGGAGUAACUUCUCAGCUACUGCCACACCAACACAGAAAGUUCAGCCAAACCAAUCACAGCCUUUCUUCGCAGAAAUGCCGCACAUAUAGCACAAGUGAACAGAGCUCUCACCAGCCUCUUCCAUUCUGGCCUCCACAGCAAGGCUGCAACAUUUGGCUCCACUGGCAGAUAUCUGGUACCCAAAUUGAGGGAUGUUUGCUGCUCCUUUAAACAGCCCUGGAGCAAAGCAGAAAGUUUAAGAAAUUCAGAGUUAGGUUGGUUAUAUUCUAUGAAAUGCACAUAUUUUCCAGGCACUUACCCAUCGUCUCUUUAAGAAACUCUUCGUGAUACAGGGCAAGUUGCCUAAAGAGGUCCCGGAUCCAUGAGGCCCGUCUUCUGAAGUUACCUUGGGAUGUUAUGUCUCUUGUUUCGAGCAUGCUCAGAUGGUGCCCAAGGUUCACCAUCUGGUACCCUUAUAGAUGAUUCAAACUGUGUUGCCGACAGCACAUCUUUGUAACCUCUGGGAUCUCAGCACUGCAUUCGAAGUAUGCUCAGUAAACACAGACAUGGGAAAGUCUUCCUGAAACGGGAAGAAAAUCACUGUUUGCGAUUUACUUUAACGUUGUGAUCUUGCAAGGUCAGAUUUUGCAGCUUAGACUAUCCAGCCUUUCCCCAAGGUUUGUCUGCAUGCCUUCUGAUAUGGAGAAGGCCUUCGCUUUGGGGAGGAAAUGACCCUUUAUUGAGGGAGCUGUAUUUCAGUAUCGCCCGAUGGAAUUGGGUCUGUCAAAUUGGAAUUUCCUAGAGAGACUACACCAGAAUUUCCUAGAAAUAUUUUUAUUGUAAGUACUCAUUUGAUUUAGACUUCUCCGACGUUCUCAUUUUCUGUAGACCAUGACAGGGUACGCGGGUUCCCAAUUCAUUUAGUCCCUUGCCUGAAGCAGGAUACAUAAAGGCAUUCUUACUUGCAAACUAUAGAGCUUUGCCAAUUUAUUUGCAUUGGAAUAAGAUCCUAGCCUGUCUUGACUGAGGAUAGAGCACAUGGUAACUCCUGUCUCAGCUACUGUGUGCAUAUUAUUUUAUCCUGCCACUUUAACUGAUAGGUUUUGUAGCGGGACUACACUAGAUAGGAAAAGAAUAAGUGGAUCCCCUUUUAUGAGACCUACAUUAGAUUAUUAUUCUUACUAUUGUUACGGUAUUGUUGGUCUGCUUCCCCUCCCCCCAAAAAACCCCAAAAUCAUGAGAUGGUGAGACUUCCUACUAUCAUGGCUUAAAGCAGGGUUGGAGACCCCUAGUUUAAAGUACUAAUAUCAACUUUCUCCCUAUGAAAUAAAAGACCAACAAACUAUUAUUAAUAUUAGCGCCAAGGCCCAUCCAAUAGUUCCUUUUAGUGGGAACUUCAUUAAACCUGAUAUCAAUUUUACAGGCUGUCUUGGCCCACGAUUCCUUUGUUUUCCAGAAUUUCGAGCGGCUGGGAUCCCACCCGUAACAUCCUCCCGCGUAUCCACAUUUGGUUGAAUCUGCCUAUGCAGAGUAAUGAGGCACUUUUUGGGGAUUAAAAAAAAACUGGACUGGUUUAGAUUUUGCAAGCUGCUGUAUUCUUUAAAAAAUGCUCCCUCACUUCUCCCUCAUAAUUAAACAAAACAAAGAACAGCACAAGGAAAAAAGCUUGAAUAACCUUUUCUCCCACACAUGCCCCUUGAGGAGAUGUUGGAUUUCUGUGGUUGCUCAAAAGCCCAGCUCCUAUCUCCACCAUCCAUGCCUGUAGUUUGAAGUAAUACUGCUUACUUCGCCAUAUUCAGCUGAAUGAGCCGAUGUAACCUUUUAGUUCCACCUUUCUAUUUUUGUAGAAACGAGAAAGUCACGAUCCCACAGUUGCUGCUUCCUGCAGAUCAAAAGAGAGACUCUUAACAGUUCCAUGCUGCUCUCUGCCCCCUCCUUUACUCCCACAAGAACUUGUGGUAUUUGCUACCAGUGACCCUUCACUGCUUAUGACCCUAUUGUUAUAUUUUCCAGCCACAGACCCAUCAAGCCCGGCUGUCCCAAUCUCACCAGUAAAGUCGAAGAUAUUUAUAGGGAAGUUUCAGUCAGCAUCAAAUUACUUGUCUCGUGCCCGCUAGAGCAGAUCUUUAAUUCAGAUUGUACUAAGCCAAAAUGGGAUGGGUUGAUUUGUGAUGUAAUGCAAUAUUGUGAUUUGUAAAAAAAAAUAUGGUUCUCGGCUUGGCGUGAAUUCAUCCAGCUAUCUUAAUCAACAAAAACAUGGUUUUGAAUGAGAGUGUAGAAUGAUAUGUGAAACCUGUCAAUAUGUACGCAUAUAAGAGCAGAUUGGAUAUUGGAGGGAGGUUCCAGAUGCUGAGAAGCUUGAUGAAGGAAAUUCAUCUUCUUCUUUUUCCUCCUCUCCUUUACUGUAGUGUGUAAGUGACUAGUUUUAUUUACUGUGUGUCCACAUUUUGUAAAGUACUUUGAAAUGGCAUUAUCAGAUCUAUUAUGGGCCAUUUUAUGAGCCUGGUGUGUUCUAUCUACUCUUCUAGAAAGAAAGAAAGCAAAGCUGUUUUAUUGCUUAUUGGGGAGGGGGAGAGAACAGCAAAAGCCAAAGAGUGUGCCAUUGAGAUUGUGUAUCUGUCAAAUGUAACAUUCUCACUGCAGCACAUAGCUAUUUCCAUCUAUUAGCUUUGAUGUCAAAAUCAUGCAAACUAUGCAACAAAGAUUUUCGUGGUAGUUUUGGACAGGCAGGACUACCCACUCUGUCUUCUGUCCUCACAGUGCCUUUUAUGCUGGCAAUGCCAGGUUUAUUCAGAUGAUGUUAAUAAAUACGACGAAACACAAUUGUC